rnacentral:tRNA from 1 species
CAGGCCGAUGGCCGGGGAACCGCCCCACGUGACGGCGCGGCCGCUGACGUCAGCGGUCCACUCGUUCGACGCGGGUGCCGCCUGG